rnacentral:rRNA from 1 species
ACGCUGGCGGCAGGCUUAACACAUGCAAGUCGAGCGGAUGAAGGUAGCUUGCUACCGGAUUCAGCGGCGGACGGGUGAGUAAUGCUUAGGAAUCUGCCUAUUAGUGGGGACAACGUUCCGAAAGGAGCGCUAAUACCGCAUACGUCUACGGGAGAAAGCAGGGGACCUUUGGGCCUUGCGCUAAUAGAUGAGCUAAGUCGGAUUAGCUAGUUGGUAGGGUAAAGGCCUACCAAGGCGACGAUCUGUAGCGGGUCUGAGAGGAUGAUCCGCCACACUGGGACUGAGACACGGCCCAGACUCCUACGGGAGGCAGCAGUGGGGAAUAUUGGACAAUGGGGGGAACCCUGAUCCAGCCAUGCCGCGUGUGUGAAGAAGGCCUUUUGGUUGUAAAGCACUUUAAGCGAGGAGGAGGCUACCUAGAUUAAUACUUUAGGAUAGUGGACGUUACUCGCAGAAUAAGCACCGGCUAACUCUGUGCCAGCAGCCGCGGUAAUACAGAGGGUGCGAGCGUUAAUCGGAUUUACUGGGCGUAAAGCGUGCGUAGGCGGCCAAUUAAGUCAAAUGUGAAAUCCCCGAGCUUAACUUGGGAAUUGCAUUCGAUACUGGUUGGCUAGAGUAUGGGAGAGGAUGGUAGAAUUCCAGGUGUAGCGGUGAAAUGCGUAGAGAUCUGGAGGAAUACCGAUGGCGAAGGCAGCCAUCUGGCCUAAUACUGACGCUGAGGUACGAAAGCAUGGGGAGCAAACAGGAUUAGAUACCCUGGUAGUCCAUGCCGUAAACGAUGUCUACUAGCCGUUGGGGCCCUUGAGGCUUUAGUGGCGCAGCUAACGCGAUAAGUAGACCGCCUGGGGAGUACGGUCGCAAGACUAAAACUCAAAUGAAUUGACGGGGGCCCGCACAAGCGGUGGAGCAUGUGGUUUAAUUCGAUGCAACGCGAAGAACCUUACCUGGCCUUGACAUACAGAGAACUUUCCAGAGAUGGAUUGGUGCCUUCGGGAACUCUGAUACAGGUGCU